rnacentral:tRNA from 2 species
UGUAAGAAAGACUAAGGGAUAGUCUUCGG